CCUACGGGAGGCUGCAGUGGGGAAUAUUGGGCAAUGGGCGCAAGCCUGACCCAGCAACGCCGCGUGAAGGAAGAAGGCUUUCCGGUUGUAAACUUCCUUUCUCAGGGACGAAGAAGGUGACGGUACCUGACGAAUAAGUCACGGCUAACUACGUGCCAGCAGCCGCGGUAAUACGUAGGGGGCAAGCGUUAUCCGGAUUUAUUGGGUGUAAAGGGCGUGUAGGCGGGAGCGGAAGUCAGAUGUGAAAACUCAGGGCUCAACCGUGAGACUGCAUUUGAAACUGUGUUUCUUGAGUGCUGGAGAGGCAAUCGGAAUUCCUGGUGUAGCGGUGAAAUGCGUAGAUAUACGGAAGAACACCAGUGGCGAAGGCGGAUUGCUGGACAGUAACUGACGCUGAGGCGCGAAAGUGUGGGGAGCAAACAGGAUUAGAUACCCCGGUAGUC
rnacentral:rRNA from 1 species